rnacentral:tRNA from 1 species
GCGGACGUGGCGGAACGGUAGACGCUGGGGACUUAAAAUCCUCUUCCCGAUAGGGAGUGUGGGUUCGACUCCCACCGUCCGCACCA